UACGUAGGGUGCGAGCGUUGUCCGGAAUUAUUGGGCGUAAAGAGCUCGUAGGCGGUUUCGUAAGUCGGGUGUGAAAACUCUAGGCUCAACCUAGAGACGCCACCCGAUACUGCGAUGACUAGAGUCCGGUAGGGGAGUGUGGAAUUCCUGGUGUAGCGGUGAAAUGCGCAGAUAUCAGGAGGAACACCAACGGCGAAGGCAGCACUCUGGGCCGGAAUUGACGCUGAGGAGCGAAAGCGUGGGUAGCGAACAGG
rnacentral:rRNA from 1 species